AAUAUUGGACAAUGGGGGCAACCCUGUUCCAGCCAUGCCUCGUGUGUGAAUAAUGACUUCGGAUUGUAAAGCACUUUUAGUAGGGAGGAAGGGCUCUAGGUUAAUACCCUGAAGUUUUGACGUUACCAACAGUAUAAGCAUCUGCUAACUCUGUGCCAGCAACUGCGGUAAUACAUAGGGUGCAAGCGUUAAUCGGAAUUACUGGGCGUAAAGGGCGGGUAGGUGGUUUGAUAAGUUGGAAGUGAAAGCCCCGGGCUCAACCUGGGAACUGCUUUCAAAACUGCUGAGCUAGAGUACGGUAGAGGGUAGUGGAAUUUCCUGUGUAGCGGUGAAAUGCGUAGAUAUAGGAAGGAACACCAGUGGCGAAGGCGACUACCUGGACUGAUACUGACACUGAGGUGCGAAGGCGUGGGGAGCAAAC
rnacentral:rRNA from 1 species